UCUAGCACGAUACGAACCGACAAUAAACAAAAUGUUGGACGGGACGUCCAUGAGCCUUAUGUAUAGAACUAUGGAAAGAGAGGCCCGAGAUCGACCCAAUCCGAUUUUUCCUUGGCCCGUUCUAUAAUUUACUCCUGAUAGGGUCAGACGCACGAUAUUCUUUCACAAGUCACGUCUAGGCUUUCUAGCCAAUAUACUCACACAACCCAAUUCCAUAAUUUUGUGGAAAGAUUAUACUUCGUGUUUUGUAAUUGAAUUCCUAUUUGAUUGUUAUCCAAUUUCACUGUAGCCAUCAAAACUAAUCCAUAGCAAGAGAAUCUGCCCUAAUUUCUUCCAUCUUCUUCGAUUGUUUUCGUUGAUUCUCUGACUUGUUUCAGGAACCCAUCAACAAAAUCAACACUAAAUCAUCAAUUUUUUUGUGUGAUGGCUUCAAGAGGAGUAAUGAACAUGGGUGCAUUAGCAUCAAGAGCAAAUAGAAUGAGGACGAAGCUGCAAUCAACAUUGGAAGCAAGUGUUCUUGAAAUUGAAGAUGUUUCACAUCAACAUGCUGGUCAUGCUGCCAUGAGAGAGAGUGAGUAUAGCGGUGGAGAAACCCAUUUCAAUUUGAAGAUUGUUUCCCCUAAAUUCGAGGGUCAAACCCUAGUUAAACGACAUCGAAUGGUGUAUGAUCUCUUAUCUGAUGAGCUUCAGUCUGGUCUUCAUGCUCUCUCUAUUACUGCUAAAACCCCACAAGAAGUUGCUCCUAAAUAAUCGAUUUUGAUUGCAAUUUGGCAGCAAGGUUAAUUCCGAUUCUGGUCCGACAGUAGGGGGCAAUGCUAGAGUUUCAUCGCCUUCAUCGGUUUUUGUAGGUUACUGUUCGAGUGACCUAUUGAAAUUUUUAAAAGCAUGAUUUCUGUUUAUUUGCCAAUUAAUAUGUGGUACAAUCAUGAAUUGAUACUCAUCUUAAUCACUCUGAGAAGAUUGUUGUUCAAUUUGACUACACACUGAUCUCAUGUAGCCCCUUUGUGUAAUUUGCCUGACAUUCUUGUCAUGGUAUCUUUUAAAUGUACACACAGAAACCAGAAUAUGCAUUAGUUUAGAGAUCACAGUUACUCUUUGAA